rnacentral:tRNA from 1 species
GAGGACUGAGCAUGGUGGCAUUGCAGCUGGUUUGAAACCAGCUGGUGGGGGUUCGAUUCCCCUUGUCCUUG